UAUAUUUUAUCUAUUUCUGCUGUCUCACUACACUCCAUUAGUAUAUUCUAGGGUUAAAACCCCUUAUAGGGUAGUAAAUCGCCUCCCUAUUAAGCAUUUACAGUGGUAGACAACAUCUGCACCACUUCCUUCAACAACCUGUAUUCCUUACAUAUAGUGAAGAAGGUCCUGUCCCUGCACACAGGGAUAUAAACAGUAAUUACUAAACAACAGGUGAAUGGCAUCCGGUUGCCAAGUUUAGCUGUAAAUUGCUCUCACUUGGUUAUUCAUAAAAGACAAUUAUAACUUUUAGCUGAAUUUACAUAUCUAUUUGGCGGCUGUUCAAAUAGCUGUGGAAAUCAGCCAAAUUACUAUGUAAGUUUGCUGAGUUGGUUAUUGACACAGAGCCGAAUUUCAAUCAAGUCCACUUCAUUUAUAUUAUCCAUAUCCCCUGAUAGAGAACAACAGGGCAAUUGCUCUUGUAAUCCUAAAUCUAUCCUUAUAACCUAAAACAUCCUAAAUCUAUAUGCUUCCCACUACCCAUACAAGUACACAUACCGUUCUGACAUGCUUCAUAGCAAGAGGUUUUGGGAGUUGUAGUUCAGUUGUCAGUUUUCUACAGCAGAAAAUUGACAAGUAAA